rnacentral:rRNA from 1 species
GAUGAACGCUGGCGGCGUGCCUAAUACAUGCAAGUCGAGCGAACGGACGAGAAGCUUGCUUCUCUGAUGUUAGCGGCGGACGGGUGAGUAACACGUGGAUAACCUACCUAUAAGACUGGGAUAACUUCGGGAAACCGGAGCUAAUACCGGAUAAUAUUUUGAACCGCAUGGUUCAAAAGUGAAAGACGGUCUUGCUGUCACUUAUAGAUGGAUCCGCGCUGCAUUAGCUAGUUGGUAAGGUAACGGCUUACCAAGGCAACGAUGCAUAGCCGACCUGAGAGGGUGAUAGGCCACACUGGAACUGAGACACGGUCCAGACUCCUACGGGAGGCAGCAGUAGGGAAUCGUCCGCAAUGGGCGAAAGCCUGACGGAGCAACGCCGCGUGAGUGAUGAAGGUCUUCGGAUCGUAAAACUCUGUUAUUAGGGAAGAACAUAUGUGUAAGUAACUGUGCACAUCUUGACGGUACCUAAUCAGAAAGCCACGGCUAACUACGUG